rnacentral:sRNA from 1 species
GCACGGCCUCCGCCGAGUCCGGUACGCGCAUGGCGACCGGAGCCGGGGACCCACCGAACCUGGGGUGAAUCGGCCCGACCUCCCUCCCGGGGCAGGCCGUAGGGCAACCCUUCCGAAGCACCCGCCCGAACCCGACAGCUAACUCGGUAGGCGGAGCAUGGAAGGAGU